rnacentral:rRNA from 1 species
ACGGAGGAUGCAAGUGUUAUCCGGAAUCACUGGGCGUAAAGCGUCUGUAGGUGGUUUAGUAAGUCAACUGUUAAAUCUUGAGGCUUAACCUCAAAAUCGCAGUCGAAACUAUUAGACUAGAGUAUAGUAGGGGUAAAGGGAAUUUCCAGUGGAGCGGUGAAAUGCGUAGAUAUUGGAAAGAACACCGAUGGCGAAGGCACUUUACUGGGCUAUCACUGACACUCAGAGACGAAAGCUAGGGUAGCAAAUGGGAUUAGAUACCCCAGUAGUCCUAGCUGUAAACCAUGGAUACUAGAUGUUGAACAGAUCGACCUGUGCAGUAUCAAAGCUAACGCGUUAAGUAUCCCGCCUGGGAAGUAUGCUCGCAAGGGUG